AGUCAACUUAGUGUAUGUAAACUUCUGACCCACUGGAAUUGCGAUUCAGUGAAUUAUAAGUGAAAUAAUCUGUCUGUAAACAAUUGUUGGAAAAAUUAUUGUCAUGCACAAAUUAUGUCACGUCUGCUCCUGCGCUUCCUGCUCUUCCCCCCACACCUGGCGCUCGAGGGCUGCCAUGCAUCACGCACUCCUAUCAUCCAUUACGCACACCUGCCUUCCCUUGUCAUGCGCAUCAGCGAUAUUGGACUCACCCGGACUCACUCAUCACCUGUUAUUACCUUGGCUAUAUUUGUCAGUUCCCCUGCUCUGUUCCCCGCUUCUGCAUUGAUUGUUUUUUUUGUCUAUGUUUUCUUGUAUGCUGACGCUGUUCCUGUCUCGUUCCAUGUCCGAUCCUUAUUAAAUGAUUAACUGCUUCGUCUCUCCAGCGUCAACUAAUGUGACAGAAUGCAGAAGACAUUACACGAAGCAUCGGGGAGUACUGGCGCUCUGGUUGGUAUGGUGGCAUCGGCUCUGGGUCGCCACCGAUGGAAUUGGGAGUGCCUAUCCAGCUCGUCGUGAUCUACGCCCUAGCUGGCUCGAGAGAUUUCCUUGCCCCAGUUGGCUCGGAUGGCACCCAGCCCACGUCGGGCCUCAUCCAGAUUAUCAGUUCUUGUUCCUCCAGUCGGUCCAGGAGUUCUUUUGUUUGUUUUUUUGUUUUGUUGGUGACGUCGGGGUGGAUUCCACCGCCGAUUGAACCAGGGGUGCCUAAGCCACCACAUCGGGCUUUCACGCCCUCGCUGGCUUGAGAGGUUUCCUUGCCUCACGAAACCGCUCUCGUUCUUCCUCUUCUAGCCAUGUUCGGGAUGUAUUUGGUAAGUGACAAUAGUUAAGUAAUCAAAUGUGUAGUCCACCUACAGACAGAAAAAGGUUUAGAUAAUGUUUGUGUUUCAGGACCAUCCAACAGUUUGGCCAGGAGUCGAUUCAGCGGACACAACAGCUCGAACUCUCCCUCUGCCAUUUGGUGUACCUGUUUGCUAUCUGGACUAAACACAGAUUGGGUUUUUAUUUGUGUUUCAGGGAAAUUCAGGGAUUCAGCCGGCCGUUCCAGAUGCUCUCCUUCCACAUCUCACUUCGCACACAAAUCAUCCAGGGCUUCUACUAGCCAGUCCCACCUCCAGAGCAGAGAGCACAGAUGUUCUCCAUCUCCAUCCUGUUACUCUAUCAGACAAGAUUCAUCCAGGGCUUCUGCUUGCCAAUCCUAACGGAGCCAAGGGCAUCGCAGCUCUCACCCUCCCUUUCCCUCCGCUAGACCAGAACUGUUUCCCAUGAAUAAUGCCAAAUUUCAGAAGUGUGUCCUAACUAAAUUGGUGGAGAUAUUGAAGGAGGAGGUGAAACGUGUUGGGAGAGCAGAGCCCCAAGACUCUUUAAUUCCAUGUCAAGAGGAUGGAGACAGAGCAAGACGUUGAGCAACUAGGGCAGCAGCUCCAAAGUGCGGAUGCACAGAAUCUGAUGGCUCUUUACCAAUGGUCUGAUGUCCUUCUUCAACUUCAACGGCCAUCACACAAAGUGGGAAUUAGGAAACACAUCUGUGUACUCUGUUGUCAACGGUACCUACAAACAUGUCAUUAUUCUGUAGUAUAUUUUGUAUUAAUAACUGGGUGGUUUGAGCCCUAAAAGCUGAUUGGUUGACAGCCAUGGUAUAUUUAAGCAAUAAUACAUGAGAGCCCAUGUGUUAUAAUCACAUUUUUAUCAUGGCUGUGAGUGCCAUAGCCGUAAAAGCAACGUUUUCUGGGUUUUGUGGUACCGUAAUCAGACAAUACAUGGUUACAGUCUGUAUCCAGUUACGCUGAGUUGCGUUGUGCAUAAGAAAAGCCUUUACUACACCCUCCCAUUGCUUAAAGGGUCGCACAAUCAAAAUGACCUGCUCUGUCUGUUUUAAUAGGCUAGAUUCUUCUAAACAAAUUAUUCAUUUGCAUGGUGGUAAUUUGUGUAGUCCAUCUUUGCGAAGAAUGGUUUUAGGAGCUUGACAAUUUUGAAUGAGGUAAUCACGUGACCUUAAUGGCCUAUUAACCUAUUGACUCCCAAGUUCUAAAAAUGUAUGACGGUCCGCCCAGCGUGACAUUUUCUCUAAUUCUAUUUUUUUUAAAUGUUCCUAUGCUGUAGCCCUAAUAAAUUCUUUACCAUUUUUUUCUUCGUUAGAGCAGACUCUAGUAUGUCAUUAUGCUGGUUUUGUUUAGCUUUCUGGCCUGUUAUCAAUUAGUCAUUAUUACUUAUCUUCAUCACACAGCCUACUAGUCCUGCAUUUAAAUGCAGUCAAGCAUUCUCUUGAAUAAUUAGCCUACAAUGGCCUAAUAAUAACAAUAAAGGCUUUAUAAUUUUUUUCAUUAGUACAGAUCAACUCUCUUGUACACGUAUACUUUAUUUUGUGUUGUUUACACUGUACCAAGCAAUUAGACAAGAAAAAUGUAGUAGCCUACAGCAUUGCAUUGACCAACCCAUUGCAUUGCAUUGCAUUGACCCCCCAAUGUCUGACAUUGCCUUUGUCUCUUGAGCAACCAGUCGGCUUAACAUUCCCCAUUUCAAGUUGAUUUAAAAAAAACUUGGGAUCUCCGCACACUGACAAAUAUAUUAGGCUACAUUGUUCAGAGUUUACCAAUUCAUGUGUUUAUAAUAAGUCUAUUAGGGAGGAGUGAAAGAAACAACUUGCGCCAUUCAAACAGGGCCUUGUCUUUUCUACGUCUUUUCUACACGCAUGCAAGUUUGAGCCCAACCCUGAUCAAUUGUCAGCCCCUGAGGACAAAAUUAUCUUGUAAAUUGCGUUUUGUCUUUGAUGGUGUCAGAGUCGUGUGUAUAGGUGGCAGGGAAGUCAGGCGCAGGAAAAUCAAACUGAGUGUAAUGGAGUUAUUUAAUAACAACAGACGAAAACAUAACUCCAACACUAAAUGUAACAAAUAAAACAAAGUGGGUACGAGGACCCGAUCGCGCACCAAUACAAAACAACACAACACUGAAAUAACAAACAAUCUCUGACAAAGACAUGAGGGGAAACAGAGGGUUAAACACACAACAGGUAAUGAAUGGGAUUGAAACCAGGCGUGUAGGAAGACAAGACAAAACCAAUGGAAAAUGAAAAAUGGAUCAAUGAUGGCUAGAAGACCGGUGACCUCGACCGCUGAGCACCGCCCGAACCAGGAGAGGCUUCGACUUCGGCAGAAGUUGUGACAGAUGGACACAGAAAAGCAAACACAUUUAUCCACUUCUAAAUGAUUCUGAAUUAAUGUAAUACAUUAUCAUUAUUACUGCACAACACAAAAUAGCCACCAUUGGUUAGUGAUAAACCGGUGGUUUGAGCCCUGAAUGCUGAUUUAAGUGCCGUGGGGAACCUGUAAGAUGCUCCAUAUCCAUUAGUCUUUUCUAUAACUUACUGUGUUUAUUUUGGUGUUGCAACUGCAGUCAAGAAUUGGAACAGCCAGGCAACUGACCAUGAUGUUUGGAGAGCUGUGGCAGACCUCAAGCAUGCUCCUGGUAGAGAUGUGGGUGGUGGUUUCCACGUCACCACCACACAGGGCCGUUGCUAACGCAGCAAAAUAUAUCUAUAAUUUUGAUGGAUAAUUAUUCAAUUAAUAUAAUUAAUUAUAUUCAUUUGAACUUAACUGUAUUUUGACUGUUAUCACUGUACUAGAUAGUAUUCUUUGACUGAAUGUUUUGUGCAAAUACUGGAGUAUGUAAUGAGAAGUGUGAUUGUUCAUUUUAAGAAAUUACAGAUCAUUUUUGGUUACUGCGUCCAUGUGUAUAGUCUACAAGUAUAUUGAAAUUAUGUUAUUUGCAAGUCGUUAAAACAACGACCUGAAAAAUAUGUCUUUUCAACUUUCACUUUAAACCAAAACCGAACGUAUAUUAGCCGUCGGGCAUAUUCGUCUUUUCAAUGUAUUUUUAAUGACAGUUUGCUGGGUGGGGUAGGUCAUUUGUUACAUGAAAUAUGUUUUGUGGACUUCACUGGACAGAUGUUGCUCUCUACCUCAAAUACAAAACGAUUGGUUCUACUGAAGAAGACACUUGCCAAUUUUAGCAUACAUAACGAUGGAUAGAGUAAAAAUGAACUUUUCAG